rnacentral:rRNA from 1 species
CCUACGGGUGGCUGCAGUCGAGAAUCAUUCACAAUGGGGGAAACCCUGAUGGUGCGACGCCGCGUGGGGGAAUGAAGGUCUUCGGAUUGUAAACCCCUGUCAUGUGGGAGCAAAUUAAAAAGAUAGUACCACAAGAGGAAGAGACGGCUAACUCUGUGCCAGCAGCCGCGGUAAUACAGAGGUCUCAAGCGUGGUUCGGAAUCACUGGGCGUAAAGCGUGCGUAGGCUGUUUCGUAAGUCGUGUGUGAAAGGCGCGGGCUCAACCCGCGGACGGCACAUGAUACUGCGAGACUAGAGUAAGGGAGGGGGAACCGGAAUUCUCGGUGUAGCAGUGAAAUGCGUAGAUAUCGAGAGGAACACUCGUGGCGAAGGCGGGUUCCUGGACAUUAACUGACGCUGAGGCACGAAGGCCAGGGGAGCGAAAGGGAUUAGAUACCCCGGUAGUC